GAGGGCAUAGCUCAAGUGGUAGAGCGCAUGCUUAGCAUGCACGAGGUUCUGGGUUCAAUCCCCAGUAUCUCCU
rnacentral:tRNA from 1 species